AGCGUCCUUGUAAUAUCUUUGUUGUUUUGGUACCGAUUAUGGAAUUCAAGGGUGGAUAACUUCCUAGAGUCUCUACCAGGACCGCCAACUUAUCCCAUAAUUGGAAGCAUCCAUUUAUUCGUCGGAAAAUCUAAGAGAGAUAUCUUGAAAAAGGUCAUGAGAACACUGGAUUAUUACUCGCGACACAAGAUGUUCAGAUUCUACGUUGGUAGGAAUCACUAUGCAGUGCUUGCAGAUCCUCAAACCAUUCAGAGUGUUUUACGAAACCCAAAUUGUUAUGAUAAAGAUGCCACUUACAAUUUUUUUAAUAUUCCGAAUAUACUUUUCACUGCCAAC